AGCGCCGUAGCCUUUCCCCGUACCCUAACACUCAUUAGCUUCACUUUAGAUAAUAAGAAAAGAAAGAAAGAAGAAAAGAAAGGAAGAGGGAAAGAAGGAAAGGGAGAGGAAGAGAGGGAGACCCGUGAGAGAGGGAGAGUGCCAGGGGAGGAGGAGCUGUCCGCACCGCCACCACCCGGCUCGCCGUCGCCGCUAGUCUAGUCCACCAUGGAGCUGCCAUCGAGACACAAAACGCCUUUACCACCGCUUUAUUCUGGCAUCCUUCCUGAGCACGAUAACUUCCUUUUUCGGAACUCUCAGUGUUAAUGUUCUGUUAAAGUUUGUUGACGAGGUUGAGAUCUUGAUUACCUUACGGUCGAGCUCCGAGGUUUGCAUGUCAAAUUUUAGGUUGCCGUUGAACCACCAGAGUUUCUAGGCUGCUGUCGGAGCUACCGUCGAGACAGCUCGGGAUUGCGGCUGCUCAAUUUUGCUGCUACUGUAAGGUUGCGUUUGUUUUUAGAGAUAGAACAGAACAUGACACUGAGACUGAGACAGAGACAAUAGGCCGGAGACAUUAAAAAUUAUUGUUUGUGUAUUGUGUUUGGAUAUGAUGGACAAGACACUAAUGUUGUAAUAUCCAGUAUUAUGUUUGGAUACACAUGGAAACACAUGGACAAGACUAAAAUAUUAAAUAAAAUUACUAAAAUAGACAUCCCUCCCCUCCUUCCCUGUAUCUCUAAUCCUUGCCCUCCAUAACCCUUCGCUAAACUCUUCUCACUCUCUCUGGUGGACUACUCUUCAACACAUCGCAUUCCGUUUUACCAUACCUCUCUUGAUUGCAAGAAUGUUGUCAUUGUUCCCAUUCUCACGAAUCAUGUUAAAGUACACUCUUCUUCAAAUCCCAAAUUUUGUUCCUCACUCUGCUCUCGGUCUUUGCUUCCCUCCAACUUCAUCCCUACACUCUCACUUUCAGCCCCAAUCACUUGAUGAAGCUGUUGAUUCCUUCACUCGCAUGCUCUUUAUGUGUCGCCCUCCAUCCAUCCUUCAAUUCCUCAAGAUUUUGGGAUCUCUUGCCAGACCAACCAUUGCCCACCGCCAUUUCCCUUUUUCAGCAAUUGCAAUCCAGGGUCUAGUUCCAGAGUUUCAAUUGUUACUUUCGAGUACUAAUAACUCCAUUUAUGAUAAUGGGGUGAAAGAAACCUUUUUGCACCCACCCAUUUUGUGCAACAAAUGCUAUUUUUAUAUGUGUUGGUUGAUAUGUUACCGACAGUGAUUCGUGUGAUGUUGGAGAAUAUUCAUAAACAACAUUAACAAAAUUGAAAGGUUGUGGCUUUUUGAGUAAAAGGGACUUUCUUGUGUUUUUUUCCUUUGGAGAUGCAAAGAAGAUGGAGAAGAAAAGAGAGAUUGUGGAGUAUAGGGAGAGGCUGGACAACACUCUUGCCUCACCUCAUAUGACAAAUUAUCACAUGCUCAAAAACCUUGUUCAGACUCAACUCUUGCAUUCUUCAAAACAACAAGAAUUCUACCAAGGUGAAGGUGUCGAAAGCUUAAGGUGAAGAAAGAAAAUUCCUAGAAGAAAAUGAGCUAAGGGAAAAGAAGAGAAAAGCAGCAGCAUGAAGGUUAUGAAGAAAGGUCUUGGGGGGCCAAUUGCUGGUGGAUAGCUUGUCAUCUAAUAAUCUCAUAGGCUCAUAGACAUCAAGGCUAGCAACUGUAAAUUUUGAUGAAACUUUAGAUUUGAGCGUGUACAUGAUAGAGCUAGAUAUUUUUGUGCUA